UGCCGAUCUUGGAUUCACCGGCAGUGACGACGCCCGGGCAGUUCGGCCCGAUCAGUCGCGACUUCGAGCCUGACAGGGAGCGCUUCACGCGCACCAUGUCGAGCACCGGAAUGCCUUCGGUGAUGCAGACGAUCAGCGGCACUUCCGCAUCGAUCGCUUCGCAGAUCGCGUCAGCCGCGCCCGGCGGCGGGACAUAGAUCACCGACGCGUCGGCGCCGGUCUUCUCGCGCGCUUCAGAGACGGUGUCGAACACCGGCAGACCCAGAUGCGUUGUG
rnacentral:misc_RNA from 1 species